AUGUUAUUAUCAGAUACUUUCUGAACAAAAGGGCUUAGUCCACUUCCCAAUGGAGAAAUAAAUACUCCAGUGCCAUCUGAAUCUGUGAUAGCAGUGUUAUAAUCCUCAUUCUUCCCAGAAAACACUUCAGUGGAUAAUUUAGGAAACUGGCUCCUUUUCAAAAGGCUCGAUCGACUGUGUGUAUUAAUUCGGGGUGAGGUAAGCAGAAG
rnacentral:misc_RNA from 1 species